rnacentral:rRNA from 1 species
GGGCCUACGGGGGGCAGCAGUAAGGGAUAUUGGUCAAUGGGGGAAACCCUGAACCAGCAACGCCGCGUGAGGGAAGACGGUUUUCGGAUUGUAAACCUCUGUCCUCUGUGAAGAUGAUGACGGUAGCAGAGGAGGAAGCUCCGGCUAACUACGUGCCAGCAGCCGCGGUAAUACGUAGGGAGCGAGCGUUGUCCGGAAUUACUGGGCGUAAAGGGCGCGUAGGUGGGCGCUUAAGUCAGGUGUGAAAACUCCGGGCUCAACCUGGAGACUGCACUUGAAACUGGGUGUCUUGAGGGCAGGAGAGG